UGACAGGGAGACAGGUGGUGCAUGGUUGUCGUCAGCUCGUGUCGUGAGAUGUUGGGUUAAGUCCCGCAACGAGCGCAACCCCACGUUUAGUUGCUAACGCGUGAAGGCGAGCACUCUAGACGAACUGCCGUUGACAAAACGGAGGAAGGUGGGGAUGACGUCAAAUCAUCAUGCCCCUUAUGUUCUGGGCUACACACGUGCUACAAUGGCCGGUACAGACGGACGCAAAGCCGCGAGGCGGAGCAAAUCCGAAAAAGCCGGUCUCAGUUCGGAUUGCAGGCUGCAAUUCGCCUGCAUGAAGUCGGAAUCGCUAGUAAUCGCAGGUCAGCAUACUGCGGUGAAUACGUUCCCGGGCCUU
rnacentral:rRNA from 1 species